rnacentral:sRNA from 3 species
GCCAGGUCGACACCACAGCUUGGCAGGAGCGGAGGACCCGAUCAUGACGGGGCCGUCCGGGCGCACCGGUAGCGGCCCCUUGGGGUGAAGCCGCGCGAGAGCGGCCGGGCAUCUUCGCCUGCCCGAACCCGACAGGCCAUCCUUCGCAGGCGCUAGGACGAAGGGGU